AGCUUUGCCCAGUGGCAGUAUCGUAGCCAAUGAGGUUUAUCCAAAGUGCAAUUACUGCUAAUUGAAAAAAAUUAUGGUUUAAUAGUCAUGUGUUUGUGUGUCAAGUUGACAAGUGGUCAAUUGUCCUGGUUAGUUUUUGUCAAC